GGCUAAAUACUAGUGGUGGGGCAUGUGGUUUAAUGCGAUAACCCGCGCAAAACCUUACCAAUUCUUGACAUAAAAGUUAAAUUUAACUUUACAAAUUUUUGUAAAAAAGUUAUAAUAAUUUUCUUUUACAGGUGUUGCACGACUGUCGUCAGUCCGUGUCGUGAGAUGUUGGGUUAAUUCUUCUUAACGGACGUAACUCUUGUCUUUAAGUAUAAUUUACUAAUAAUUUAGCAAAGAGCUUUAAAGAGAUGAAAAAAAGUAAUUACUUUACUUUAACUGAGAGAGAACUAAGUCAAGUCAAUGUGACCUUAAUGAAUUGGGCUACACAUGUGCUACAAUGGAAACCACAACAAGUUACAUAAAAGUUAAAUUUUUAGUUAAUCUCUAAAAGUUUCCUUAGUUCGGAUUGUAAACUGCAACUCGUUUACAUGAAGUUGGAAUCACUAGUAA
rnacentral:rRNA from 1 species